rnacentral:rRNA from 1 species
UACGUAGGGUCCGAGCGUUGUCCGGAAUUAUUGGGCGUAAAGAGCUCGUAGGCGGUUUGUCGCGUCUGCUGUGAAAUCCCGAGGCUCAACCUCGGGUCUGCAGUGGGUACGGGCAGACUGGAGUGCGGUAGGGGAGAAUGGAAUUCCUGGUGUAGCGGUGGAAUGCGCAGAUAUCAGGAGGAACACCGGUGGCGAAGGCGGAUCUCUGGGCCGAUACUGACGCUGAGGAGCGAAAGCGUGGGGAGCGAACAGG